rnacentral:rRNA from 1 species
GCAAGUUCAUAAGAGCAAACGGUGAAUGCCUUGGCAUCUGGAGCCGAAGAAGGACGUCGUAAUCUGCGAUAAGCCUCGGGGAGCUGAUAAACGAGCUGUGAUCCGAGGAUUUCCGAAUGGGGAAACCCCGCCAGGCCCCUUGUGGUGACCUGGUGACUCCCGCCUGAAUAUAUAGGGCGGGUAGAGGGAACGUGGGGAAGUGAAACAUCUCAGUACCCACAGGAAGAGAAAACAACAGUGAUUCCGUCAGUAGUGGCGAGCGAACGCGGAAGAGGCUAAACCGAGUCAUGUGUGAUACCCGGCAGGGGUUGCAUGGCCGGGGUUGUGGGACUUUUCGUUCCGGUCUGCCGGCCGGUGAACGUUACAGCGCAUCAUAGACGAACAGGUUUGAACGCCUGGCCAGAGCGGGUGCGAGCCCCGUAGUCGAAAUGGUGUUAUGGCGUGAAGAGUAUCCCAAGUAGCACGGGGCCCGAGAAAUCCCGUGUGAAUCUGUCAGGACCACCUGAUAAGCCUAAAUACUCCCAGAUGACCGAUAGCGGACAAGUACCGUGAGGGAAAGGUGAAAAGUACCCCGGGAGGGGAGUGAAAUAGUACCUGAAACCGUUUGCUUACAAACCGUCGGAGCCUCCUUGUAGGGGUGACGGCGUGCCUUUUGAAGAAUGAGCCUGCGAGUUAGUGCUCUGUGGCGAGGUUAACCCGUGUGGGGCAGCCGUAGCGAAAGCGAGUCCGAAUAGGGCGAUUCAGUCGCAGGGUCUAGACCCGAAGCGAAGUGAUCUAUCCAUGGCCAGGUUGAAGCGACGGUAAGACGUCGUGGAGGACCGAACCCACUUCAGUUGAAAAUGGAGGGGAUGAGCUGUGGAUAGGGGUGAAAGGCCAAUCAAACUUCGUGAUAGCUGGUUCUCUCCGAAAUGCAUUUAGGUGCAGCGUUGCGUGUUUCUUGCCGGAGGUAGAGCUACUGGAUGGCCGAUGGGGCCCAAAAGCUUACUGACGUCAGCCAAACUCCGAAUGCCGGUAAGUGAGAGCGCAGCAGUGAGACUGUGGGGGAUAAGCUUCAUAGUCGAGAGGGAAACAACCCAGACCACCAACUAAGGUCCC